CACGGGAGACAGACAGUGGGUGCUAACGUCCAUUGUCAAAAGGGAAACAACCCAGACCAUCAGCUAAGGUCCCAAAGUUAUAGUUAAGUGGGAAACGAAGUGGGAAGGCUUAGACAGCUAGGAGGUUGGCUUAGAAGCAGCCACCCUUUAAAGAAAGCGUAAUAGCUCACUAGUCGAGUCGGCCUGCGCGGAAGAUGUAACGGGGCUCAAACCAUACACCGAAGCUACGGGUGCACUCUUUUGAGUGUGCGGUAGAGGAGCGUUCUGUAAGCCGUCGAAGGUGGACCGAGAGGUCUGCUGGAGGUAUCAGAAGUGCGAAUGCUGACAUGAGUAACGAUAAUGAGUGUGAAAAACACUCACGCCGAAAGACCAAGGUUUCCUGCGCAACGUUAAUCGACGCAGGGUGAGUCGGCCCCUAAGGCGAGACCGAAAGGUGUAGUCGAUGGGAAACGGGUCAAUAUUCCCGUACUUCUAGUUACUGCGAUGGAGGGACGGAGAAGGCUAGGCCAGCACGGCGUUGGUUGUCCGUGUUUAAGGUGGUAGGCAAGUGUCUUAGGUAAAUCCGGGACGCUCUCUUUAGUGAGGAUGCCGAGAGCUGAUGACGGUGACUCUACGGAGUCCGAAGUGGUCGAUACCAUGCUUCCAGGAAAAUCUUCUAAGCUUCAGCUACAAAGAAAUCGUACCGUAAACCGACACAGGUGGGUGGGUAGAGAAUACUAAGACGCGCGAGAAAACUCUUGUUAAGGAACUCGGCAAAAUGACUCCGUAACUUCGGGAUAAGGAGGACUUUUAAUGAAAAAAGAAAGUCGCAGAGAAUAGACCCAAGCGACUGUUUAUCAAAAACACAGGUCUCUGCAAAACCGCAAGGUGAAGUAUAGGGGCUGACGCCUGCCCGGUGCUGGAAGGUUAAGGGGAGAGGUUAGCGCAAGCGAAGCUUUGAACUUAAGCCCCAGUAAACGGCGGCCGUAACUAUAACGGUCCUAAGGUAGCGAAAUUCCUAGUCGGGUAAAUUCCGACCCGCACGAAAGGCGUAACGAUUUGGGCGCUGUCUCAGCUGUAGACUCGGUGAAGUCUUAGUACCUGUGAAGAUGCAGGUUGCCCGCGACUAGACGGAAAGACCCCAUGGAGCUUCACUGCAGGUUGACAUUGGGCUUGGAUGCAUGAUGUACAGGAU
rnacentral:rRNA from 1 species